rnacentral:lncRNA from 1 species
AAUGGGUUCACACAUGGCUGUUAGGUGAGAUGUGAACCAUGACAUGUAGUUCAAUCUACCUAAUAGACCACGAACCUCUUUUUUGUUCUCGGUUCAGGCACUUCUUGUUUUUCUUUUCUUUUUUUUUCUUUUUUUUUUCUAGCAGGAUCAACCUCGAUUCCUCUUUUACUUAUAAUGAACCCCAGCAGCUUACCGGACCGCACUCUGAUA